AGCCCAGAGCCUGAAUCAGUGUGUGUGUUAGUGGAAGCGUCUGGAAAGGCGCGCGAUACAGGGUGACAGCCCCGUACACAAAAAUGCACAUGCUGUGAGCUCGAUGAGUAGGGCGGGACACGUGGUAUCCUGUCUGAAUAUGGGGGGACCAUCCUCCAAGGCUAAAUACUCCUGACUGACCGAUAGUGAACCAGUACCGUGAGGGAAAGGCGAAAAGAACCCCGGCGAGGGGAGUGAAAAAGAACCUGAAACCGUGU
rnacentral:rRNA from 1 species